rnacentral:rRNA from 1 species
AACGCGAAGAACCUUACCUGGGCUUGACAUUUAGGGAAAAGCCGUAGAGAUACGGUGUCCUUCGGGGUCCUAAACAGGUGGUGCAUGGCUGUCGUCAGCUCGUGUCGUGAGAUGUUGGGUUAAGUCCCGCAACGAGCGCAACCCUUGUCCGAUGUUACCAGCGGGUUAUGCCGGGGACUCGUCGGAGACUGCCGGGGUCAACUCGGAGGAAGGUGGGGAUGACGUCAAGUCAUCAUGCCCCUUACGUCCAGGGCUGCACACAUGCUACAAUGGCCGGUACAACGGGCUGCUAUCCCGCGAGGGGGAGCCAAUCCCAAAAGCCGGUCUCAGUUCGGAUUGCAGUCUGCAACUCGACUGCAUGAAGUCGGAGUCGCUAGUAAUCCCGGAUCAGCAACGCCGGGGUGAAUACGUUCCCGGGCCUUGUACACACCGAGACGUA